UCGAGGUUCCUCGUCCACCUUCUUCACCCAUUACGGAAUCUUGUGCAUAUAUGCCGCGGUACAUAUGUGUCUUGUCCUCCGCGGCUUCUUCUCCCGCCCUCCCCCUCCCUAUUAGUGCCCCGCUGACGUCGCGCGCUGCCUCUUGCUUUGUUUUCCGUGUGUGCGUGCGUGUGCGUGCGUGCGCGUGCAUUAUUGGCGCGUAUCCUAUUGAUGUGCUGCUUAUGCCAGAUGUAGGUGAGAGCAGGACCGAGGUGAUUUGAGAAGACACCGGACGGAGGCGGAGGGGGAAUGUGAAUGAGUAACGACAGGACGUGGGAGAGGCCGAGACAAUUUCUGAGGCGGCCAACACUCAAGACGUGUGCGUACUCCGGCGCCGCACCGAUUUUUUGUCCGUGCCUCACGGCAUCGUCCCUUUUUGGUAAGUAACGUUGUUCGUUUCGGCUUGCUUUGCCACACCGGCCCCCACCACACUCCACAUCACACACACAAUCUGCCUUUCUGUUUCCACCGCCGUGGGCUUCAUCGUCUACCCCCUUUUCCCCCUACACACACACGCGCGCGAAAAGAAAGGAACGAGGAAGAGCGCGUCUGGGAUCCUUCUCCUUUUCUUGCUGUUUUACGUAUCUCUUUUUUUUUUUCGAGCUUCAUCGUACAUAAAUGCGGGCCAGUCGGCAUGGAUUGCUGGCGCCUUUUUUUUGUGAUUGCUAUUCUGCGCUUGUGCUGCUUACUGCCUUUUUUCUCUCAUGCGCCCUUCCACGGCCGCAUCUUCGCCUCUUGCUCCAUUCCGUUCUCUACCCAGUCGUCUCCACUUUUGGCGCGUGUAUGCGUGCGUUUCGUUCUCUCUCCUGAUCCUCCUUCUCGGCUGUCUAACUCUUCUCUACGACUUGGAAGCCACAACACGGUAGCACGUAUGCCUCUUUGCUUCCCUUUCUGUCAUCGUGGAGAUGGAAGUCGCCUGUUGUGGUACUGGGUAGUCGCUCGGCGUCCCUGUUGUGGCUACGUGUUCUUUCGGUUGCAUUCACCCGUUUCUAUAUAUAUAUAUAUAUAUAUAUAUAUAUAUAUAUAUAUAUAUAUAUAUCAUCUCUGUGGUUGAUGUCUAGGCGCACGCGCCAAGACGUGCUGUGAAUGCGUGCACACGUGUGUGUGUGUGUGCGUGUGUGGUGGUGGUGUUGUUGUAGGGACGAUAGAUGUUUGUUGAUCGUGUUUAGGCGCACAUUGUUUUCUUCUUCCUUUUUUCACAUGUCGAGUUAGAUUGGCUACUAGAGGAAGAUGACAAAGGCAGCCGCGCCUGGUGAGGUUGAUGCCGGUCUUGCUCACCGCGCACAAGGAUGGGAUGUGGAGGCAGACACACACACACACACACACACAUGUUCAACCGAACAGAGCG
rnacentral:misc_RNA from 1 species